GAUGAACGCUGGCGGCGUGCUUAACACAUGCAAGUCGAACGAUGAAGCCCAGCUUGCUGGGUGGAUUAGUGGCGAACGGGUGAGUAACACGUGAGUAACCUGCCCUUAACUCUGGGAUAAGCCUGGGAAACUGGGUCUAAUACCGGAUAGGAGCGUCCACCGCAUGGUGGGUGUUGGAAAGAUUUAUCGGUUUUGGAUGGACUCGCGGCCUAUCAGCUUGUUGGUGAGGUAAUGGCUCACCAAGGCGACGACGGGUAGCCGGCCUGAGAGGGUGAACGGCCACACUGGGACUGAGACACGGCCCAGACUCCUACGGGAGGCAGCAGUGGGGAAUAUUGCACAAUGGGCGCAAGCCUGAUGCAGCGACGCCGCGUGAGGGAUGACGGCCUUCGGGUUGUAAACCUCUUUCAGUAGGGAAGAAGCGAAAGUGACGGUACCUGCAGAAGAAGCACCGGCUAACUACGUG
rnacentral:rRNA from 1 species